rnacentral:rRNA from 1 species
GGNGUGCUUACACAUGCAAGUCGAACGAUGAUGCUGGAGCUUGCUCCAGUUGAUUAGUGGCGAACGGGUGAGUAACACGUGAGCAAUCUGCCCUUGACUCUGGGAUAACUGCGGGAAACUGUAGCUAAUACCGGAUACUUUCACCGGAAGGCAUCUUCUGGUGAUGAAAGAAUUUCGGUCAGGGAUGAGCUCGCGGCCUAUCAGCUUGUUGGUGAGGUAACGGCUCACCAAGGCGACGACGGGUAACCGGCCUGAGAGGGUGACCGGUCACACUGGGACUGAGACACGGCCCAGACUCCUACGGGAGGCAGCAGUGGGGAAUAUUGCACAAUGGGCGCAAGCCUGAUGCAGCAACGCCGCGUGAGGGAUGAAGGCNUUCGGGUUGUAAACUUCUUUUAGCAGGGAAGAAGCGAAAGUGACGGUACCUGCAGAAAAAGCACCGGCUAACUACGUGCCAGCAGCCGCGGUAAUACGUAGGGUGCAAGCGUUGUCCGGAAUUAUUGGGCGUAAAGAGCUCGUAGGCGGUUUGUCACGUCUGCUGUGAAAAUCCAAGGCUCAACCUUGGACUUGCAGUGGGUACGGGCAGGCUAGAGUGCGGUAGGGGAGAUGGGAAUUCCUGGUGUAGCGGUGGAAUGCGCAGAUAUCAGGAGGAACACCAAUGGCGAAGGCACAUCUCUGGGCCGUAACUGACGCUGAGGAGCGAAAGCGUGGGGAGCAAACAGGAUUAGAUACCCUGGUAGUC